UCAGCACGCGUAUGAAUAUUGGAUGCUUCUCCUCACCGUUUUCAAAUUCUCCAGUUCUCGCACUUCUUAUGUCGAACGUCCAUCGAACAAAACAAAUCGAAAUAGAGCCUAAUCAUCACCAAUGAGCUUCCCAUUUUGAUUCUUAUUCAUCAUCCUUUUUACCGUAUCAGAUUUACAAGAUCCAAUAUUGAAAUGAAAAUUUCCAGAUAAAAUCAUAUCUUACACGUGGAGUCGAAGAGAAUUGGGGACGAAUCAUGAUGCAUUCAAUAACUCGUGCGUUCAUCAGCUUCAAGGAAACUUCACGGUUCAGUCAUGAUUCAUGUCUUUCCAUCGUAAAGCUUCGCAGCUCCGGGAAUUUGGUUCGUUCUGUUAUCAAAUGCACAAACGGAAGAAAAGCGGUGUCGACACGAAACGAAAGACUUACCGGAAUUGAAGUUUGAUUGCGAACAGAGCGAAUCAAAAGUGAAGAGGAAUCUAAUUUGGAUAUGUGACAGUAGGAGAGUUCUAAGGUUGAAGAAUGAAGAUUGAAGUUUGGAAUAAGUGAAGAUUGAAACUUGGAAGAAUGAAGAUUGAGACUUGGAAGCAAUGAAGAUUGUGGCUUAGAAGAAAUUGAGCUUUUCGAAGAAGAAAAAAACGUGAGUCCCGAGUUCUUUUUAUAGAGUUUUGAAUUGAAUUAAGUUAUGAAAUUCACCUUCAAAUUCACAUGAAAUUCAAAGUUAGUUGUAAAUCAAAUUAGUUAGUUAUUUGUUAGGGAAAUCAAAUCGGUGAAUGAAUUUGGCUUUAAUUUGGUUUUAAUUUCCUCUUCAUUUCCAUCUGGUAUGUAUGAUCUGUUAAAGUUAGUUAAUUCUGUUUUUGGUGUAUAACUGGUGGUGUUAGGAUUUAUUAGUAUGUUAAUUGAAUGUGGAUGUUAGUCAUUAAUUGAAAUGAGGAAGGUAGUUUUACUGAUCAAAUUUGUUAGAAACUAUGUGCAAGUUGGUUAGUUCUAUUAGAUUUCAGUUGGUUCAGUUGUGGAGGUGGUUACAGAGAGUGAAGUUUUGACGUACACUUUGUUGUCUUGGAUUCCCAUCAAUUCAUGAACCAUAGUCUAAUAGGUCCAUAGAUUUAGCAACGGGGUUACAGGGUCAUCCCUCCUGUCAAUCACCGAUAACAACGGAGAAACUUCCAUUCCCCUAAAAUCAAAAGGACCACUUUCCUCUUGGUACCUCAGUUUAGCUUUUUCCCGUGCUAUUCUUUUUGCAAUAUCGAAUGUUCUUUGAUAUCUAAUUACAGGUCUCCAUUUUAAUGCCCAAAAAAACCGCAGCCAGACCUUCAACAACCCGAUCACUGAAACGUUGUAAUGCUGAAGGGUCUAUGACAGCUGGGAGCAUAUAAAUGUAAUUUGAAGGCACGUAGAAAGUGAAAUGAUAAGGAUCAAUAGCAACAAAGUUUGCAUAGAACUCCUGAACUUGCUGGAUGAUUUCUUGUUCAUCUGAUUCAGCAAGUAAGUGAGUAUGACGGUCCUUCAUUAUGUUGGAGAAAAAUAGAUGAUACUCUCCAAAUCUAUGACUAGCCACCUGACGACACGCAUAUACUGAAUAUUCUCUGACGUCGGUCGAAGGAAGUAAAUGGCCUUAAGAUGCGACAUUGGUUUCUUUGACUUGGAAAUUGAUAAUGGAUUUUUGAUUGUAUGGAUUGAAUCGGAUUAGAUUAUAAUGUAAAUAGAAAUGUAAGUUGAAAAUGAACAUGAAUUGAAAAUGGAUAUGUAUGGUUUGUAUUGAAAAUUGAAUGUUGAAUUUGUAUGGUAUUAGAAACCUUAAAUGAAUUGGAAAUGGUGAAUA